CAGAGAGUAGUUUAAUAGAGAACAUUCGUUUUGGGAUCGAACAGCCGGGGUGCAAAUCCUCUCUCUUUGA
rnacentral:tRNA from 1 species